AGAAGAUCAUAAUGGCCUUAUAUGCUGCAGAAAAAGCAGCAAGACAGAAAUUCGCAACAUCAAGAAAUGUUACGAACAGAAGCCAAGAGCGGACUGCAGGUUCCACGCCUUCGUGAUCGUAAAUCAAGACAAUAAGCGAUACUGUGUGAAUCCAGACGCUAAGUGGCUCAAACGUCGUAUCAAAAAGGGUCUGAAGUGUCCUCCCAUCAUCAUCGAGCCCAAACGCAGAUUUGAAGUCCUGAACAAAGUCGACAUGGAAUAAAAACAGCUGCCAGAAUAAUUUCUGAUCAUUUACUGCUUCCUGCUUUUACUGCAAUAUAAAGAUAGAUAAAUAUAGAUAACUAAACAUGUUUCAGGCAGAGCUUUACUGUUUUUGGAGGGAAAUAACCCUGCAACCAAAAAUAAUAAAUCAUUUAGCAAGUGA